GCGCACUUAGCUUAGUUGUUUAAAGCAUCACUCAUGAAUUUUGGGGUCAUGGGUUCAAAUCCCAUAUUGCACA
rnacentral:tRNA from 1 species